GGUUUCCGUAGGUGAACCUGCGGAAGGAUCAUUGUCGAAAACUGCACAGUUAAGCCACACGUUAACUUGUUUUUUAACCAUCCCAUGUUGCUGGUAGGAAGGUUGCCUUGGCUUCCUCCUUCCAUCGCAUGAACAACAAUUUUCGGCGCGGAAUGCGUCAAGGAGUACAGACAUUAAUGUAAGGCUAGCCCCCUCUUGCUGCCGUUUGGUUUUGAUGAGGGUGUAGCAUAGAUAGUUGAAAUAUUUGGCUUAAUGACUCUUGGCAACGGAUAUCUCGGCUCUUGCAUCGAUGAAGAACGUAGCGAAAUGCGAUACUUGGUGUGAAUUGCAGAAUCCCGUGAACCAUCGAGUCUUUGAACGCAAGUUGCGCUUGAAGCUAUUUGGCUGAGGGCACGUCUUCCUGGGUGUCAUACUUUGCGCUGCCCCCCUCUCCCCCCUUAUUGUGUGGAUGAGAGGGGCGGAGAUUGGUCUCCUAUGUGUCUUGCGCACAUGGGUGUCUGAAACAUGGAGCUUGACGUAGUGAGCGCCGUGAUGAUCGGUGGUUGGAUGGGCCUUUCGCCCUAGAAGCAUCUUGUCAGGAAGUGCCGUGCUGAGUUCGGUAGGAGUUUGAAUUGGUUUGAAUUCUAUGUGAAUAAAUUGCUAUGACUUGUCAACAUUCGCGACCCCAGGUU
rnacentral:rRNA from 1 species